rnacentral:rRNA from 1 species
CCGGCGGGGGACAACAGUCCGAAAGGAUUGCUAAUACCGCAUACGUCGGCGAGAUCUCCGGAUCUUGCCGGGAAAGAUGGCCUCUCCUUGGAAGCUGUCACCGGAAGAUGAACCUGCGGCCCAUCAGCUUGUUGGUGAGGUAACGGCUCACCAAGGCUAAGACGGGUAGCUGGUCUGAGAGGAUGAUCAGCCACACUGGGACUGCGACACGGCCCAG